rnacentral:rRNA from 1 species
UACGUAGGUGGCGAGCGUUGUCCGGAUUUACUGGGCGUAAAGGGAGCGUAGGCGGACUUUUAAGUGAGAUGUGAAAUACUCGGGCUCAAUUUGAGUGCUGCAUUUCAAACUGGAAGUCUAGAGUGCAGGAGAGGAGAAUGGAAUUCCUAGUGUAGCGGUGAAAUGCGUAGAGAUUAGGAAGAACACCAGUGGCGAAGGCGAUUCUCUGGACUGUAACUGACGCUGAGGCUCGAAAGCGUGGGGAGCAAACAGG